GCCCGAGUAGCUCAACGGCUAGAGCACCGCUCUUGUAAAGCGGGGGUUGUGGGUUCGAUUCCCACCUCGGGCUCCG
rnacentral:tRNA from 2 species